rnacentral:rRNA from 1 species
GACAGAGGGUGCAAACGUUGUUCGGAAUUACUGGGCGUAAAGCGCGUGUAGGCGGCCCUGCAAGUCGGGUGUGAAAUCCCACGGCUCAACCGUGGAAGUGCACUCGAAACUGCAGGGCUAGAGUCCUGGAGAGGAAGGUGGAAUGCUUGGUGUAGAGGUGAAAUUCGUAGAUAUCAAGCGGAACACCGGUGGCGAAGGCGGCCUUCUGGACAGUGACUGACGUUGAGACGCGAAAGCGUGGGGAGCAAACAGG